UCUCUGUUAGUAUAUCGGUUAGUACACGCGCCUGUCAUGAUUAUGUCGCGGUCGCGCGAAAGCUGGGUUCGACUCCCAGACAGAGAG